AGGAGGAACAACCCCAGUGGCUGCGGCAGCUCUGGAGCCCUGUAUUCUGCCCCCACAGUAACUACAGAGCUCUCCGUCUGCAGGGCCUGGACUCCGGGGGCGG
rnacentral:pre_miRNA from 1 species